UACGAACUGUGCGAACGUUAUCCGGAAUCACUGGGCUUAAAGGGUGCGUAGGCGGCUAUUCAGGUCAGGUGUGAAAGCCCCCGGCUCAACCGGGGAACUGCGCUUGAAACCGAGUGGCUCGAGUCAGCUAGAGGUACACGGAACUUCCAGUGGAGCGGUGAAAUGUGUUGAUAUUGGAAGGAACACCGGAGGCGAAAGCGGUGUACUGGGGCUGGUCUGACGCUGAGGCACGAAAGCCAGGGGAGCGAACGGG
rnacentral:rRNA from 1 species